rnacentral:rRNA from 1 species
CCUACGGUAGGCAGCAGUGAGGAAUAUUGGUCAAUGGUCGGGAGACUGAACCAGCCAAGCCGCGUGAGGGAGGAAGGUACAGAGUAUCGUAAACCUCUUUUGUCAGGGAACAAAGACUGGGACGCGUCCCCGGAUGAGUGUACCUGAAGAAAAAGCAUCGGCUAACUCCGGACCAGCAGCCGCGGUAAUACGGAGGAUGCCACGGUUAUCCGGAUUUAUUGGGUUUAAGGGGUGCGCAGGCGGUCUGUUAAGUCCGCGGUAAAAGCCCGGGGCUCAACCCCGGCCCGCCGUUGAAACUGGCAGUCUCGAGUUGGAGAGAAGUAUGCGGAAUGCGCGGUGUAGCGGUGAAAGGCAUAGAUAUCGCGCAGAACUCCGAUUGCGAAGGCAGCAUGCCGGCUCCACACUGACGCUGAGGCACGAAAGCGUGGGUAUCGAACAGGAUUAGAUACCCCGGUAGUC